AAAGAAAAGAAAGUAUGGGCUGGGGCAACCGACUGCAACACCAAGAUUGGCCCGCGCCCAACUCACACAAGGAGGGUUCAUGGUGGUAACAAGAAAUAUUGUGCUCUGCAGUUGGAUUUUGGCAACUUCUCUUGUGUAUCUAAGUGCUGCAUCUGCAAGACUAGAUUCACUGAGGUGGUCUGCAAUGCUUG